rnacentral:tRNA from 1 species
CGGUUGCGGUCCGGUUCGGGCAGGACCAUCACCUCGGGGGUGACCUCGGCCGGCGGCGGCUCGGCCGGUACGGCGCUCAACUCGUCGACGAUCGU